UACGGAGGGGGCUAGCGUUGUUCGGAAUUACUGGGCGUAAAGCGCACGUAGGCGGCUUUGCAAGUUAGAGGUGAAAGCCCGGGGCUCAACUCAGGAAUUGCCUUUAAAACUGCAUCGCUAGAAUUGUGGAGAGGUAAGUGGAAUUCCGAGUGUAGAGGUGAAAUUCGUAGAUAUUCGGAAGAACACCAGUGGCGAAGGCGACUUACUGGACACAUAUUGACGCUGAGGUGCGAAAGCGUGGGGAGCAAACAGG
rnacentral:rRNA from 1 species